rnacentral:rRNA from 1 species
AACGAACGUUGGCGGCGUGGAUUAGGCAUGCAAGUCGAGCGAAUCCCCGCAAGGGGGGAAGCGGCGAAAGGGGCAGUAAGGCAUGGGUAACCUACCCUGGGGACUGGGAUAGCCCUUCGAGAGAAGGGGUAAUACCGGGCGGUGUGCCGGGCCGGCAUCGGUCAGUCACCAAAUGAGUUUCGCCCUGUGGAGGGGCCCAUGUGAUAUUAGCUAGUUGGUGAGGUAACGGCUCACCAAGGCGAAGAUGUCUAGCGGGUGUGCGAGCACGACCCGCGCCACUGGCACUGAGACACUGGCCAGACACCUACGGGUGGCUGCAGUCGGGGAUCUUCGGCAAUGGGCGCAAGCCUGACCGAGCGACGCCGCGUGUGCGAUGAAGGCCUUCGGGUUGUAAAGCACUGUCGAGAGGGAGAAAAGCGAAAGCUUGAUCUAUCUCUGGAGGAAGCACGGGCUAAGUUCGUGCCAGCAGCCGCAGUAA